AGAGAGGGGCCGGCUUGGCUUACACGCAGACGCAAUUAGUCGGUCUCGGAGGCUACUGUGCGGCGGUGCCCGCGCAGCUCCGCUCCACAAUAUUCCCGGCGCCGGCGCUGGGGCUGUUCUACAGAAGCAGACGCGCGGCCCAAAACACCUGUUGCUGUGUCAAAUACAGCAUCACCAUGGAUGACGACUUCUCUGAAAGUCUUCCCACCACUCCAACUGAGAAGAAAACCAAGAUGAGGCCAAAAUGGAGCAGUCCACUAGAGGGAAAGCUGGGACUAAUUGCCUCCAUGCUGUCUCCAUCUGACGACUUUAUCAUCGCGACCACUAUGUCCUAUAGGGGCGGAGGUUUUAUAUUUCUACCACUGCUUCUGAUAUUCUUGGCUCUGAUUGGCGUGCCAAUGCUUCUAUUGGAAGUUGGAGUUGGACAAUUUUCCGGACGAGGAACAUGGUGCGCCUGGAACAUAGCUCCGCUGUUCAAAGGCAUUGGCUAUCUGGUCACCAUUCUCAACGGCCAGUCUGCUCUGCUUUUCUUCUGGGUCGCCAUGGCCCAGUUUGUCUACUACUACGAUCUAAUAUCGCUCGGCCCGGAGGCAUCUUCCAUGUACGCUCACUGUUCAAACCAGACCGACAGUAGCUCGCAUGGAUAUGAAGAUUAUGGGAAGAGCUACGCAAGUGUGACUUCUGACGAAUUUGGACUGGGUUCAACGGCUUACUGUGAAGGAAAGACAAUUUUUGCUCGCCGCUGGCAGCGUCAUGAAGACAGGUUCGAUCCAACUGCGGGUCGUGCCGGAAACAUCCAGAUCCAGUGCAAGUGGUCGCAUGUUUUUGGUGUUUUCGCUGUCUGCGCGGUGGUUGCAGCAGGAAGACGAAUCUUGGGCCUGUUUUCAGCAGUUUGUGGUAGGUAUUCAAAUU